CUGCUUCUUUCUUUCACUGCCCAUUUCUUCCCUGUUCCUCACCUCUCUCUAUCUCUGUCUGUUGACAGGAACGGCCAUGGCGCCUAUGCUUCAAGCCCUCGCGCGCGACCAGGUGCCCCAUCCCCCUGACUGUGCACCGGACACGGAACACCCAUGGCGACCAACCUCUGAGUCAGCCCCGCCGCCUCCAGCUGCUUCCUCACUGUCAGGCCAAAGAGCACGUCGUCAGAGCACACCAGGAAUUCCCGCUGUCGCAUGAACGCCGCAUCAAGUUCGUCUCCCGCCGGCGACGAUCCCCGUCGGACCCAGACGCCAAGUCGUGUCGCACCAGCAACCUGCAUCCACAACACAACUGUUCUGUUUCCUUUUCAGUUUCGUCCGAUUCAUGACAUUCUGUGGUUCAUCUAGCGUCUAUCUCAUGUUUGGUCAGUAGUUCCUUUGUAGGCUAGCUGGUCAAUCAACUGCACUAGCACCGCGAGGUCUAUGGAUUAAAUCCCCAUGGCCUAUCUUUUAUUUUUAGUUGCUAUGUUUUUUCCAUCCAUGCACACACACCCGCGUCGGGUAGGAUCUUCUGCCGGGCUUGCGGAGUGUGUUGCAUUCAUCCUAUAUAUUUUUUCUGCUCUGUAGAUUUUGCUUUUAAUCACGACAUUGCAUAUUUCACAAAAGGCCACGCUUUAAUAUGCCAAUAACUAAUUAUCCAUGCAUCUAAAUAAAACAUGUCAUAUAUGUAAAAUGUUCAGAAUUUUAUGUAUAUUCACAAUAGCCAACUUUCAUCCAUGUUAAAAUGGUUUAACUUGCUAUUUUAAUAUGCCUAUCUUUUAUUUUUAGCUGCUAUGUUUUUUCCAUCCAUGCACACACACCCACGUUGGGUAGGAUCUUCUGCCGGGCUUGCGGGGUGUGUUGCAUUCAUCCUAUAUAUUUUUUCUGCUCUGUAGAUUUUGCUUUUAAACACGACAUUGCAUAUUUCACAAAAGGCCACGCUUUAAUAUGCCAAUAACUAAUUAUCCAUGCAUCUAAAUAAAACAUGUCAAAUAUGUAAAAUGUUCAGAAUUUUAUGUAUAUUCACAAUAGCCAACUUUCAUCCAUGUUAAAAUGGUUUAACUUGCUAUUUUCAUUAAAUUUGCAUAAAUGCCACGUUAAAAUGGUUUAAUUCAUAGAUAUUAAACCGUAAAUAUGAUUAAAAUGUUUUAUAUAUGUAACUUGACUAGACAAAUGUGUAGAAUAACAUGGUGGCAUUUAUUUUGUUGUUUAACAACUCUAAAUUUGUGUUAUAGGCAGAACAGUACCGAAAUCUUGAUUUGCAUAUGGGGACUUUUCGAAAUUGUUAUUCGUUGUUCCGACCUCAUUUAAACUUGCCUAGAAUGUCAUGUAGUUCCAUAAUAUCUUUUUCAUCCAUGUUUUAACAUGCUUGUAGCUCUCAUUUGCAGGCAUUUUGCAUUCAGGCCAUAUCAUCUUGUGUUGGUCAUAUCUUUUCAACCGUAGCUCCAUUGUAGAUGAUAUAUAUCUCAUUAGCGCUAUUCGUCACCCUGGGUCUCAUUCGCGCUAUUCGUCACCCUGGACUUCUGAACCACUUCGGAGCGUGAGGAUUCGUUCGACUACGUUGGUUCGUCUGCUUAAUGGAUUCGUUCUUCUUCCAAGAGGGGUCACAUGCAAGAUGAUCGGUUCCCUCCAUACCAUUACUAUAAUUGCCAUGAUAGUUGUCUCGUUUCUAUCGCUAUGUCUCCCUGCCUACCACCUAUUAAUGUCA